GACGAACCGAGCGAACGUUGUUCGGAAUCACUGGGCUUAAAGGGCGCGUAGGCGGGCUGCCGCGUCCGGGGUGAAAUCCUCCGGCUCAACCGGGGAACUGCCGGGCAUACUGGCGAUCUUGAGGCAUUCAGGGGCGAGCGGAACAGACGGUGGAGCGGUGAAAUGCGUAGAUAUCAUCUGGAACGCCAAUGGUGAAAACAGCUCGCUGGGAAUGAUCUGACACUGAGACGCGAAAGCCAGGGGAGCGAACGGG
rnacentral:rRNA from 1 species